GACGAACGCUGGCGGCGUGCUUAACACAUGCAAGUCGAACGGAAAGGCCCUGCUUUUGUGGGGUGCUCGAGUGGCGAACGGGUGAGUAACACGUGAGUAACCUGCCCUUGACUUUGGUAUAACUUCAGGAAACUGGGGCUAAUCCCGGAUAGGAGCUCCUGCUGCAUGGUGGGGGUUGGAACGUUUCGGCGGUUGGGGAUGGACUCGCGGCUUAUCAGCUUGUUGGUGGGGUAGUGGCUUACCAAGGCUUUGACGGGUAGCCGGCCUGAGAGGGUGACCGGACACAUGGGGACGGAGAGACGGCCCAGAGGCCGACGGGAGGCAGCAGGGGGGAAGAUGGCACAAUGGGCGGAAGCCGGAGGAAGAAACGCCGCGGGCGGGAUGACGGCCUGCGGGUUGUAAACAGCUGUCGCCUGUGACGAAGCGGGAGUGACGGUAAUGGGUAAAGAAGCACCGGCUAACUACGUG
rnacentral:rRNA from 1 species